ensembl:lncRNA
CUAAGAUGUACUCUGUUAUGGCUGAUGAGGCUAGAGAUGGGCACACGGAACAACUUGCAGUUUGUGUAUGUUUUGUGUCAUGUAAAGGCCAUUUCAAAGAGUGUUUUCUUGGUCUACGGAAACUAGAAAGGUUUGCAGACCCUAUUGAGGAGCUGUUGCAGUAUUACACGCUCAGUGACUUACUUUGUGUUGCACAAUCCUAGUUCGCAGAAGUCGAGUCUACGGUAGUGCAGAGUCUACACUGUCUGUAGACCGUUACGUCUUUUCAUUGGCCCGGAGUCUACGGUGAACAUAGACACUGUAGACUCAGGUCAAUAGGAGCACCGAAUCCCACUGUAGACGACCAAUCGUCUGGUCAACGGAAGUUGCGUCACCAAAACAACAAAAUGCAGCGGAACAGCGAGGAAGCCGGCAAGUCCACUAUUUUUUAUGGAAACUGACAUUUCUUUUAUGUUUACGGUAAGUUAUCGACUCUAAGACACUCCUGGAUUUAGCUAAAGUACACGACGCUGAAUACCUAAUUUAACCUUUUUUAACUCCAAUUUCUAGUCCUGGUAUGGCGACACCAACGAUUUGGGUAGUUAAUCCAGAUGCCCCUGCACAUCAUCAGCUGGCACUACUUAUGGCAACCAAAGAGAGAAGCUUCUUCAAGCCGAGGGUAUCCACGCGCCUUCACGUCAGCAGUGCCUGGGAAAGCUGGUGGUGCCAUUUGGAUAAUAUGAAAAUGUGGGGGAUAUAUGAAGUACAACAGCUGACAAGUACCCCCAGGUGUGAUCCUUCAUUGUGGCCAGGUGAUGAUGCUGAACUGAUAGCUGCAUCCCAGUCUGUGGAAGAUUCACUGAAGUCCCAACACUCCUUGUCUGCAAGUCAACCUCUAAAGCAACGGCUGACAAGCAGAGGUGCUUCCUCCUCCCAGACGUCUGGAACACAGGAGAACUCAGCUCCCCUGUCCAAGGAGUUUGAGAACACUGUACAGUCACAUCAAAAUAAAGCUACUGUGCAGCCCAAACAUCGUGAGUCCACAGAGACUGCCGUACGGUCCAAAAAACUUGACACCAUUGGACUCACUGAGUCAUCUGCAUCCCAGGGUCAUGAUCAUACAACACAAUUACCGUUGAGUCAUUCACCUGUGGAGACUAAGGGAUGGGUGCGUCUCUGGGAAAAUCCCAAUGGUAUCCCAUCUGCUGACAUUUCCUGGCUUAAAGAGGACACUGAAAGAGGGCUGUUUACCCCUGUUCAGACAUACAAGGAUGUUACUGGUGUGUUAAAGAGGCGACGGGUGAUUAAAUCAGAUCGCAUGUGGUUUUACCCACCAGAACCUCCUGGCGUUGCGGUUGUUGUUGUUGUUGUUUUUUCCCGUACUCUUUACAACACAAUGAUCACGACAUUAUACUUCUUCUUCUAUCUUUUACAAAACCUUACAUUACAGUCAGAAUCAAGUUCACUGAUUGAUUGCAGUGCUGUCUUUGUGUUUUACUGAUUGAUUGCAGUGUUGUCUUUGUGUUUCACUGUUUCAUUCAUUUUAAUAAAGUGUUUUGUAUUACAGUAACAGUGAGUUGUGGAAUAACUUAAUGAAUGAAUGACUUAGACUUACUGAGCUUCUUUGAAUCAGCAUCACUAUAGCCCGAAAGGCACUGACAAAACAUACAAGCAUAAAUAAAUACAAUCUAUAGAAAG